GCCGGAAUGGCGGAACUGGCAGACGCGCUGGACUCAAAAUCCAGUGGGAGCAAUCCCGUGUGGGUUCGAUUCCCUCUUCCGGCA
rnacentral:tRNA from 1 species